rnacentral:rRNA from 1 species
GUGGGGAAUCUUGCACAAUGGGGGAAACCCUGAUGCAGCGACGCCGCGUGAGCGAUGAAGCCCUUCGGGGUGUAAAGCUCUUUCGGCAGGGAAGAUUAUGACGGUACCUGCAGAAGCAGCUGCGGCUAACUACGUGCCAGCAGCCGCGGUAAUACGUAGGCAGCAAGCGUUGUUCGGAGUUACUGGGCGUAAAGGGUGUGUAGGCGGUUGGAUAAGUGUGGUGUGAAAUCUCCCGGCUUAACUGGGAGGGUGCGCUACAAACUGUCUGACUAGAGUGUGGGAUGGGAGAGUGGAAUUCCUGGUGUAGCGGUGAAAUGCGUAGAUAUCAGGAGGAACACCGGUGGUGUAGACGGCUCUCUGGACCAUAACUGACGCUGAGACACGAAAGCGUGGGUAGCAAACAGGAUUAGAUACCCUAGUAGUCC